rnacentral:rRNA from 1 species
UACGGAGGGGCCAAGCGUUAUUCGGAAUUACUGGGCGUAAAGCGCGUGUAGGCGGUUUGCUAAGUCAGAUGUGAAAGCCCUGGACUCAAUCCAGGAAGUGCAUUUGAUACUGGUAGACUAGAGUGCAGGAGAGGAAAGCGGAAUUCCAGGUGUAGAGGUGAAAUUCGUAGAUAUCUGGAGGAACAACAGAGGCGAAGGCGGCUUGCUGGACUGCAACUGACACUGAGACGCGAAAGCGUGGGGAGCAAACAGG